rnacentral:lncRNA from 1 species
AUUCUACUGUGCAGUGGAUUACCCAGCCGGAUGCCCGUGUUUCAAUUCAUGAUUUAUUCCAAUAACCUUCAGCUGCAUUGGAUAGCAGCCACUCACUCUUAUAAUCCACCCUGUUCACCAGGAUCCAUUCCAUCUCUGAAAUCUGAAACUUCAAUUGCCCACUCUUAGAUAUUUAUCUUUUAUUCCCUAUCUACACCAAUCUUGCUCUUUCAGAUAAAUUAAGCCUUCCCCUCUGGUCCUCCCUAAUUCUUCUCUACUUCAGAGCAGCUGUGCAAAUUUCUAGCACUCCUUCAGCCUCAGCUCAUGGCUACGCCUUCUGGAUGGAAGUCCCCCAACUUCUGAAUGAAACAGAGACCACUACAGAGGGUCAAGAUCUUCGUUUUAUGAUGAUACGUGUAGUGAACAAAUCGAUUCUGAGGCUACCCACAUGUAGACUCAGACCUGGAAUGGACCUAGAGAGGUCACCUUCAUCUCCCACUCUUUUCUCUUCUGAUGGAGAUACAACCCCUCAUGCAUCAGCCCAGCUCCAAUCAAGAACAUACUCUCUUCCUGGCCAUAGUUACCCUGCACUCUCUGCCUUUUCCACUGGGGAACCUGGCAUCAGUGAAAUUCACCAGACUGACCCUGUGUUGGCCACUGGUGGGGAACAGACAAAAGGGCCCUUUUCUUAAACCACUUGGGGAUCAUAAAUGUCAAGUUGCCAAUUAUGAAUGAUAAGCAAAGUGGAAGACAUGGAAGAUAUCAAUGUAUCUUUUCAAACACUUACCAUGCAUUAAUAGCUAUUAGUUUAUUGAAUUUCUCAUGUUCACUGAUCUUGAUGUUUUAUGGAUUAAAAAAAAACUGAGAUUUAUGAAGAGGGAAGGGAAUUAAUAUGUGUUAAAACCUAUGGGGACCUAGCAUAUAGUAAGCACAUGGAGUUCUGCUCAAUGUUAUGUGGCAGCCUGGAUGGGAGGGGAGUUUGGGGGAGAAUGGAUACAUGUGUAUGUACGGCUGAGCCCCUUCACUGUUCACCUGAAACUAUCAAAAUAUUGUUAAUCAGCUAUACCCCAAUACAAAACAAAGUUUUUUCUUAAAAAAUUAUGAUACAGAGAUUAUUUUAUAUUUUUUCCAAUGCUUUAAUAGAGGUUAAGUGAUGUGUCUAGAAAAACACACAAUUGAUCAAUAAUAAUCCAGCACCUGUGGGUUCUCUGAGGCCAAAGCCCACGUGCUUUUCAUUACAUGGAAGCUUUUGAGUUUCAGUCAUUCAAAACCACGCUCAUGACUUCUGCUAAAAUCGUGUGCCGUGUACUCUUUUACUUUCUUAGAGGCAGCCUGGUUUCAUGAUUAGAACACAGUCUUGAAAUCAGCCUUCCUAAGUUCUGAUCCUGGUGCUGCCUCUUACUUGUUUUACAACUUUGGACAAUUGACUUGACCCCUGCCUCUUUCCUCAUGGUUAUAAUAGCACCUACUUCAAAAGACUGUUUUGAAGAUUAAAUGACUUAAUAUAUGUUAAAGCAUUAUACUACGUGGUCAAAGUCAACUCAUAUUACUUCAGAAUUGUCUUUAAAUCACGCAUUUGCUACUUAACAAAAUGUAUUUAAAAGGAGAGUUUUUAUAACAUGAUUGUGAACCUACAAGUUUUAUGUGAUAGUUAUAAUUCAAGAAACACUCCAACCAAUACACAAUAUUAAAAUAAAAGGUGUUUGUUCAUGGAUCGCCUAAAAUAA